UACGGAGGGUGCAAGCGUUAUCCGGAUUUACUGGGUUUAAAGGGUGCGUAGGUGGGUCUGUAAGUCAGUGGUGAAAUCUCCGGGCUUAACCCGGAAACUGCCAUUGAUACUAUAGAUCUUGAAUAUCCUGGAGGUGAGCGGAAUAUGUCAUGUAGCGGUGAAAUGCUUAGAUAUUGGGAGGAACACCAGUGGCGAAGGCGGCUACCUGGACCGGAACUGACGCUGAUGCGCGAAAGCGUGGGUAGCAAACAGG
rnacentral:rRNA from 1 species